rnacentral:tRNA from 1 species
CUGGGUGUAGCUCAGUCUGCGCAGAGCGCCGCACUUGGAAUGCGGAGGUCGGCGGUUCAAAUCCGUCCACCCAGACCA